AGCGAACGCUGGCGGCAUGCUUAACACAUGCAAGUCGCGCGGGUGGUUUCGGCCAUCAGCGGCGGACGGGUGAGUAUCGCGUAGGAAUGUAUCCCGAGGUGGGGGACAACCCUGGGAAACUGGGGCUAAUACCGCAUGGGGCCUGUGGGUCAAAGCCUUAGGGCGCCUUGGGAGCAGCCUGCGUCCGAUUAGGUAGUUGGUGGGGUAAAGGCCUACCAAGCCUGCGAUCGGUAGCUGGGCUGAGAGGACGAUCAGCCACACCGGGAAUGAGACACGGCCCCGAACGCGAGGGGGGGGAGGAGGGGGGGAAAUUGGGCAAAGGGGCGCAAGCCGGACCCGCCAAGGCCGGGGGGGGGAAAAGGGGUUUGGGAUGGGAAGGCCCUUUGGGCGGGGAGGGAGUGACGGGAACGGGAAAAAAAGCCCCGGCUAAAUUCGUG
rnacentral:rRNA from 1 species